rnacentral:lncRNA from 1 species
GGGGAGGAGAGGAGAAGCGCAGGGGAACUUCCUCUUCCGGAUGCCUCAUGGGAGGAAGACGGUGGGCAGGGCGGCUUCUGUGCUCUUCCCAGGAUGGAAGCAGCAGUUGGCAGGAGUUGGAAAUGCUUGCAAUGAUCCCAAAGCUUCUGAAUCUCUUACAGGGCUACAUAACAAUAUCAAGCAAAAUUAAAUAAAGCCAACCUAAGAAUCAGAGGGGAUGGUCUACAGAGUGCGGUAAAAAGCCGUAAGUCCCCACUCAGAGAAACAGCCCAUUUCCUCAGAAUCCAGCUUUGAACCUCAGAUUGAAAGCUGUAAAGUAUAUGUUGUUUGGAUCUUGAAAGCUGCAGGACAGAAGCAACUUAGGAGCAGCUUGGACUCAAAAUCACCAAAGUCCCCUGUAACCAUUUGAGUUAUUUCAGCAGCAUGACAGCUGAUUGGCUGCCCUGUCGGACAGUGCAGUAUAAAAGGAGUGCGGUCAGACAGGCUCAGCUGUCGCCUGUCAGCUGCAUUUGUUAGCGUGUGAUUUGACUUUGGAAACCCU